AGCUCGGCCCCAGUGACCGGCGCGUGUGAAUCCGCCAGGUCCGGAAGGAAGCAACGGUAGUACGUUGUCGGGGUGCUGGGUAGCCGGGCUAUC
rnacentral:SRP_RNA from 1 species